rnacentral:rRNA from 1 species
CCGAGAAUAUUCGACAAUGGGCGAAAGCCUGAUCGAGCGACGCCGCGUGCAGGAAGAAGGUUUUCGGAUUGUAAACUGCUUUUCUACAGGAAGAAUAAAUGACGGUACUGUAGGAAUAAGGAGCUGCAAACUACGUGCCAGCAGCCGCGGUAAUACGUAGGCUCCAAGCGUUAUCCGGAUUUAUUGGGCGUAAAGGGUGUGUAGGAGGUUUUGUGCGUCUUCUGUAAAAUUUCGCCGCUCAACGGCGAAGCCGCAGAGGAUACGGCAAGACUAGAGAAUGUGAGAGGUCUGUGGAACGCAAGGUGUAGGGGUGAAAUCCGUUGAUAUCUUGCGGAACACCAAAGGCGAAGGCAGCAGACUGGCACAUUUCUGACUCUGAGACACGAAAGCGUGGGGAGCA